UACAGAGGGGGCAAGCGUUAUUCGGAAUUAUUGGGCGUAAAGCGCGCGUAGGCGGAUCUGCAAGUCGGGGGUGAAAUCCCGAGGCUCAACCUCGGAACUGCCUUCGAUACUGCGGGUCUCGAGUCCGGGAGAGGUAAGUGGAAUUCCUAGUGUAGAGGUGAAAUUCGUAGAUAUUAGGAAGAACACCAGUGGCGAAGGCGGCUCACUGGCCCGGUACUGACGCUGAGGCGCGAAAGCGUGGGGAGCAAACAGG
rnacentral:rRNA from 1 species